rnacentral:rRNA from 1 species
GACAUAGGUGGCAAACGUUAUCCGGAAUCACUGGGCGUAAAGCGCACGUAGGCGGCUUUCUAAGUCAGGGGUGAAAUCCUGGAGCUCAACUCCAGAACUGCCUUUGAUACUGGAGAGCUAGAGUCCGGAAGAGGUGAGUGGAACUGCGAGUGUAGAGGUGAAAUUCGUAGAUAUUCGCAAGAACACCAGUGGCGAAGGCGGCUCACUGGUCCGGUACUGACGCUGAGGUGCGAAAGCGUGGGGAGCAAACAGG